rnacentral:rRNA from 1 species
UGAACGCUAGCUACAGGCUUAACACAUGCAAGUCGAGGGGCAGCAUGGUCUUAGCUUGCUAAGGCCGAUGGCGACCGGCGCACGGGUGAGUAACACGUAUCCAACCUGCCGUCUACUCUUGGACAGCCUUCUGAAAGGAAGAUUAAUACAAGAUGGCAUCAUGAGUCCGCAUGUUCACAUGAUUAAAGGUAUUCCGGUAGACGAUGGGGAUGCGUUCCAUUAGAUAGUAGGCGGGGUAACGGCCCACCUAGUCUUCGAUGGAUAGGGGUUCUGAGAGGAAGGUCCCCCACAUUGGAACUGAGACACGGUCCAAACUCCUACGGGAGGCAGCAGUGAGGAAUAUUGGUCAAUGGGCGAGAGCCUGAACCAGCCAAGUAGCGUGAAGGAUGACUGCCCUAUGGGUUGUAAACUUCUUUUAUAAAGGAAUAAAGUCGGGUAUGGAUACCCGUUUGCAUGUACUUUAUGAAUAAGGAUCGGCUAACUCCGUGCCAGCAGCCGCGGUAAUACGGAGGAUCCGAGCGUUAUCCGGAUUUAUUGGGUUUAAAGGGAGCGUAGAUGGAUGUUUAAGUCAGUUGUGAAAGUUUGCGGCUCAACCGUAAAAUUGCAGUUGAUACUGGAUAUCUUGAGUGCAGUUGAGGCAGGCGGAAUUCGUGGUGUAGCGGUGAAAUGCUUAGAUAUCACGAAGAACUCCGAUUGCGAAGGCAGCCUGCUAAGCUGCAACUGACAUUGAGGCUCGAAAGUGUGGGUAUCAAACAGGAUUAGAUACCCUGGUAGUCCACACGGUAAACGAUGAAUACUCGCUGUUUGCGAUAUACAGCAAGCGGCCAAGCGAAAGCGUUAAGUAUUCCACCUGGGGAGUACGCCGGCAACGGUGAAACUCAAAGGAAUUGACGGGGGCCCGCACAAGCGGAGGAACAUGUGGUUUAAUUCGAUGAUACGCGAGGAACCUUACCCGGGCUUAAAUUGCAGAUGAAUUACGGUGAAAGCCGUAAGCCGCAAGGCAUCUGUGAAGGUGCUGCAUGGUUGUCGUCAGCUCGUGCCGUGAGGUGUCGGCUUAAGUGCCAUAACGAGCGCAACCCUUGUUGUCAGUUACUAACAGGUUCCGCUGAGGACUCUGACAAGACUGCCAUCGUAAGAUGUGAGGAAGGUGGGGAUGACGUCAAAUCAGCACGGCCCUUACGUCCGGGGCUACACACGUGUUACAAUGGGGGGUACAGAGGGCCGCUACCACGCGAGUGGAUGCCAAUCCCCAAAACCUCUCUCAGUUCGGACUGGAGUCUGCAACCCGACUCCACGAAGCUGGAUUCGCUAGUAAUCGCGCAUCAGCCACGGCGCGGUGAAUACGUUCCCGGGCCUUGUACACACCGCCCGUCAAGCCAUGGGAGCCGGGGGUACCUGAAGUGCGUAACCGCGAGGAGCGCCCUAGGGUAAAACUGGUGACUGGGGCUAAG